GCCUUCGUGGUGUAGUGGUCUGCAUGUUCGACGCGUAACCGAGAGGUCCGUUGUUCGAAUCCCGGCGAAGGCA
rnacentral:tRNA from 1 species